rnacentral:rRNA from 1 species
CGGUUAAGUUAGAAAGGGCGCACGGUGGAUGCCUUGGCACUAGGAUCCGAUGAAGGACGGGACUAACACCGAUAUGCUUCGGGGAGCUGUAAGUAAGCUUUGAUCCGGAGAUUUCCGAAUGGGGAAACCCACUGUUCGUAAUGGAA